rnacentral:rRNA from 1 species
UACGGGAGGCAGCAGUGAGGAAUAUUGGUCAAUGGGCGGAAGCCUGAACCAGCCAUGCCGCGUGCAGGAUGACGGCCCUAUGGGUUGUAAACUGCUUUUGACGGGGAGCAAUAAGGCGUACGCGUACGCCGAUGAGAGUACUCGUCGAAUAAGCAUCGGCUAAUUCCGUGCCAGCAGCCGCGGUAAU